GCAAAAUGAUGAUACUCCCACUUCUGGUCCGUGUUUCUGAAUCCUGAUUAGAUGGAAGUCCUGAACCA
rnacentral:snoRNA from 1 species